UAUAAUGGGUCAGCGACUUAUAUUCAGUGGCAAGGUUAACCAUCUAGGGGAGCCGUAGGGAAACCGAGUCUUAACUGGGCGCCAUAGUCUCUGGAUAUAGACCCGAAACCGAGUGAUCUAGCCAUGGGCAGGUUGAAGGUUGAGUAACAUCAACUGGAGGACCGAACCGACUAAUGUUGAAAAAUUAGCGGAUGACUUGUGGCUAGGGGUGAAAGGCCAAUCAAACUCGGAGAUAGCUGGUUCUCCCCGAAAGCUAUUUAGGUAGCGCCUCGGACGAAUACUACUGGGGGUAGAGCACUGUUAAGGCUAGGGGGUCAUCCCGACUUACCAACCCUUUGCAAACUCCGAAUACCAGUAAGUACUAUCCGGGAGACACACGGCGGGUGCUAACGUCCGUCGUGGAGAGGGAAACAACCCAGACCGCCAGCUAAGGUCCCAAAUUACAGCUAAGUGGGAAACGAUGUGGGAAGGCUUAGACAGCUAGGAUGUUGGCUUAGAAGCAGCCAUCAUUUAAAGAAAGCGUAAUAGCUCACUAGUCGAGUCGGCCUGCGCGGAAGAUGUAACGGGGCUAAGUUGUAAACCGAAGCUGCGGCAAUGUUCUUUGAACAUUGGGUAGGGGAGCGUUCUGUAAGCCGUUGAAGGUGUGUUGUAAAGCAUGCUGGAGGUAUCAGAAGUGCGAAUGCUGACAUGAGUAACGACAAGGGGGGUGAAAAACCUCCCCGCCGGAAGACCAAGGGUUCCUGUCCAACGUUAAUCGGGGCAGGGUAAGUCGACCCCUAAGGCGAGGCCGAAAGGCGUAGUCGAUGGGAAACGGGUUAAUAUUCCCGUACUUCUUACAAUUGCGAUGGGGGGACGGAGAAGGCUAGGUGGGCCUGGCGACGGUUGUCCAGGUUCAAGUGCGUAGGCU
rnacentral:rRNA from 1 species